rnacentral:rRNA from 1 species
UGAUUAUGGCUCAGGAUGAACGCUGGCGGCGUGCCUAAUACAUGCAAGUCGAACGAAACUUCUUUAUCACCGAGUGCUUGCACUCACCGAUAAAGAAUUGAGUGGCGAACGGGUGAGUAACACGUGGGCAACCUGCCCAAAAGAGGGGGAUAACACUUGGAAACAGGUGCUAAUACCGCAUAACCAUAGUUACCGCAUGGUAACUAUGUAAAAGGUGGCUAUGCUACCGCUUUUGGAUGGGCCCGCGGCGCAUUAGCUAGUUGGUGGGGUAAAGGCUUACCAAGGCAAUGAUGCGUAGCCGAACUGAGAGGUUGAUCGGCCACAUUGGGACUGAGACACGGCCCAAACUCCUACGGGAGGCAGCAGUAGGGAAUCUUCCACAAUGGGCGAAAGCCUGAUGGAGCAACGCCGCGUGGGUGAAGAAGGUCUUCGGAUCGUAAAACCCUGUUGUUAGAGAAGAAAGUGCGUGAGAGUAACUGUUCACGUUUCGACGGUAUCUAACCAGAAAGCCACGGCUAACUACGUGCCAGCAGCCGCGGUAAUACGUAGGUGGCAAGCGUUAUCCGGAUUUAUUGGGCGUAAAGGGAACGCAGGCGGUCUUUUAAGUCUGAUGUGAAAGCCUUCGGCUUAACCGGAGUAGUGCAUUGGAAACUGGGAGACUUGAGUGCAGAAGAGGAGAGUGGAACUCCAUGUGUAGCGGUGAAAUGCGUAGAUAUAUGGAAGAACACCAGUGGCGAAAGCGGCUCUCUGGUCUGUAACUGACGCUGAGGUUCGAAAGCGUGGGUAGCAAACAGGAUUAGAUACCCUGGUAGUCCACGCCGUAAACGAUGAAUGCUAAGUGUUGGAGGGUUUCCGCCCUUCAGUGCUGCAGCUAACGCAAUAAGCAUUCCGCCUGGGGAGUACGACCGCAAGGUUGAAACUCAAAGGAAUUGACGGGGGCCCGCACAAGCGGUGGAGCAUGUGGUUUAAUUCGAAGCAACGCGAAGAACCUUACCAGGUCUUGACAUCUUUUGACAAUCCUAGAGAUAGGACUUUCCCUUCGGGGACAAAAUGACAGGUGGUGCAUGGUUGUCGUCAGCUCGUGUCGUGAGAUGUUGGGUUAAGUCCCGCAACGAGCGCAACCCUUAUUGUUAGUUGCCAGCAUUAAGUUGGGCUCUCUAGCAAGACUGCCGGUGACAAACCGGAGGAAGGUGGGGAUGACGUCAAAUCAUCAUGCCCCUUAUGACCUGGGCUACACACGUGCUACAAUGGACGGUACAACGAGUCGCAAGACCGCGAGGUUUAGCAAAUCUCUUAAAGCCGUUCUCAGUUCGGAUUGUAGGCUGCAACUCGCCUACAUGAAGUCGGAAUCGCUAGUAAUCGCGGAUCAGCAUGCCGCGGUGAAUACGUUCCCGGGCCUUGUACACACCGCCCGUCACACCAUGAGAGUUUGUAACACCCAAAGCCGGUGGGGUAACCUUUUGGAGCCAGCCGUCUAAGGUGGGACAGAUGACCGGGGGUAAUCGUAACAAGGUACCC